GUCUACGGCCAUACAUCCUGAAUGCACCCAAUCUCUUCUGAUCUCAGAAGUUAAGCAGGGUUGGGCCUGGUUAGUACUUGGAUGGGAGACAGAUCUUCAGAAGAGACUGCUCAGAGACAAGCAGUUUGGAGACA
rnacentral:rRNA from 1 species